UUAAAACUUAUGGAGACUAUAGAUUACAUG
rnacentral:piRNA from 1 species